AUGGUUUCAAAUCUGGUUCAUUUUGUGUUCAUGUUUAGAAAAAAGUUUAAAACAGUGAAAAAAUCCUAACACCUCCACCUCGUCUUCUCCCACCCGGGAUCCUCCCAGAUCCGCAGCCUCCCCCUUGUCCCUCCUCAAUUUCCGUGGCAACCAAUCCUCCCUCAGCCAUCCUUUGCUUACUCCACGGUAGUAGCAACCCCGAGCUCCUCCACGCCUCCCUCUGAUGUGCCUCGACAGGAACCAGGAGUCAGAGCCCCUCCCUCUGCCCGUAGCGCCCCUGCAGCCCGAGGCCGUAGCCUCCCCCUCGCGAAAGCAUCUACCUCAGCUUCUGCAUCGUGCUUCCUCGACCUCCAGCCCGUCGCUCCUCGCUGCCCUCUACGGGAGAUGCACCGAAGCAGAAACGCCAGACCUCGCUGUCCCCGAGGCCAGCCAGGCCACGUCCUUGCUGGAGCCCCGCAUCACCGGCACCCAGAAGGAACAAUGAGGGGUCUGUGCUUCGAGCUCUCCCGUCGUCGACUCCUGAUUCGCCGCCCAGCUAUCCAGCCAGCGGAUCCGCCGCGAUUUCCACCGUCCAUGGCCUCCGCCUGAGCCGUCCGUCUUCGUGAGAUCGCCAUGGGGGCCCUCGCUCGAGCCCCACCGACGGUAGUCUCCUUCCCGCACCGGGUCUGCACCCAGCUUCCUCCCCGCGUUGUUCCAUUCCCAGCCUCCGCGCCUACCGUCGACGCCGGAGUAGUGCUAGCCUGCCGGUCUCUGAAUCCCCGAUGUGAGCACCUUGUCGCAUAACUGUUUUUUGUUCAGUCCUACAUCCAUUCUGGUGCAUUAGCGUAUUUAGAGCAUCUCCAACAGCCGCGUUAAACUAGCGUUGCGCCGCAAAAUAGCCCGUUUUAGCGCGCGCGCAACGCGGAAGAUAGCUCCAGCGGGCACACAAAAAUGAUGCGCGCGGCAUAUGCAGUUCAACGCGCUGGCCGAAACGUAAUCGCGCGCCGCUUAUUUGCUGCGCCAGCUCCCGCGCGUUGGACUCUCCCGCGCUAGCUCCUUCACUCUCGCGCGCUCGCUCCUCUACUUUCUUGCGCUCGCUCCCCACUUCCACCCCCAUCCGGCCGCGCCGCCGCCACCGCUCGCGCCCUCGUCGACCGUUCAGACGCUUCCCCGGCCUAUCCCCGUGGCGCCGUCGCUGCCCACGCCCCCCGGCGACCGUUUAGGCGCUUCCCCGGCUAUCUCCGCAGCCGCCGCCGGCCGCGCCCCCCGGCGACCGUUCAGGCGCUUCCUCGGCCUCCCCGCGCCACCGCGCUUCCGCCCCACCCCCUCCUAGUCCCGCCGGCCGUCACACGCCUCCCUCAUCCGAGGAACAACGCCCGAGCGCUCGCGGCCGCAGCGCCCGCAAGGUGUUCGACAAAACGCCUACAAGAUGAGUUCGUCGUAUGAUUCUUCCGAAGAAGAAUUUGAUAUGGAAGAGGAGGAGUGGUGGGCAUGGCAUGGACGAGAAAGAGCAUGAUUUCUGCAUUCGACAUUGUAUUGUUCAUGAACUAUUGGUUGUGUUUAAUGCAUUAUUUUUUGUAGUGAACGAUUAUUUGAGUUCUAAUUAUUAUUUAUUGUUGAUUUA